UAUGAUUUUAAGAAUGGUCUCUUGUUAAUAAAGAAUGGGUUUUUUCACACUAUAAAGUGAUCAAACAAUUUAUUUCAAAAUUCAUAAAAGAAAAAAUAUGGCUAAAGUUUAUAUAUUCAUUUGUGCUAUGAUUAUCAUUUUUUCCCUAUUUAUUUCAAUAACAAACUGUAUAGGUAAUUCUAAUCAACAAUUUUAAAUUUGGUGGACACUAGUACCCAAGAUUUCGUUGGCUACCGAUAUCAUUAUAUAAAAUUCAUUAUCAUAGCAUAUUUUUAUAUUAAUUUAUAGAGUUAAAUAAGUUUUUGGAAUUUUGGUUCAAAUAUCUCAAAAUGUUUUUAGUACUUUCAACAAAGAUUAAUCCUCGAUCAAAUAUUAUUCGUCACGAUUUAUGAUCCCUACUUUAUUAAGUCAACUCGAGUAUUUUAUUCGAAAUUUUGAAUUUUUUCCACAAUUUUGUUUACUCCAUUAUAGAAACCUCUCAUAACACAAUUUAAUUGUUUUUUAACAAAUGAUCAAUGAAAUAUAAAUUUAAUUUGAUAGGUUUCAUUAAUUCUUAUUUGAUAUCACAGAACGACUACCUAGCUGCGAAAAGGAUUCGGAUUGUCCAAGGGAUUUGUGUUGGCUUCCUGAUAUUCCAAGAUGCAUGCAUCAAAUGUGUGGAUGUGCCUUGCCCAGUGAUUAAGUUAUCAAUUAUAUGUUCCAAAGAAGCCAUAAAAGUUGCUUCCGAAAAAAAUAAAAAAGAAGCCAUAAAAGUUAAUUAAAGAUAUAGUAUAUUAUGUUAUUUCUACCCAUAUGAUGAUGUUGGUGGUCUUUAUAUGAUUUAUUUCACAGUUAUGUAUUUUUUCUUUUUCUGAUCUUUAAAUUUCAUUGAUGUAUGCAAAAG
rnacentral:lncRNA from 1 species